UGGCUGUGAUGACAACAACAUACAUUUCUCGAUGCUGAAACAUCAUUGUUCUUGAUUGUUCAAGGACCAAAUUUUGAUGAGCUCUGUGCGUGUCUGAGCCAG